CCUACGGGAGGCAGCAGUGGGGAAUAUUGCACAAUGGGGGAAACCCUGAUGCAGCGACGCCGCGUGAGCGAAGAAGUAUUUCGGUAUGUAAAGCUCUAUCAGCAGGGAAGAAAAUGACGGUACCUGAGUAAGAAGCCCCGGCUAACUACGUGCCAGCAGCCGCGGUAAUACGUAGGGGGCAAGCGUUAUCCGGAUUUACUGGGUGUAAAGGGAGCGUAGACGGCGAUGCAAGUCUGAUGUGAAAGCCCGGGGCUCAACCCCGGGACUGCUUUGGGAACUGUGUGGCUGGA
rnacentral:rRNA from 1 species